UACGUAGGGGGCUAGCGUUGUCCGGAAUCAUUGGGCGUAAAGCGCGUGUAGGCGGUCCGGUAAGUCCGCUGUGAAAGUCGGGGGCUCAACCUCAAGCUGUCGGCGGAAACUGUCAGGCUAGAGUCCGGAAGAGGAGAGUGGAAUUCCUGGUGUAGCGGUGAAAUGCGCAGAUAUCAGGAAGAACACCUAUGGCGAAGGCAGCUCUCUGGGACGGUACUGACGCUGAGACGCGAAAGCGUGGGGAGCAAACAGG
rnacentral:rRNA from 1 species